GACGAACGCUGGCGGCGUGCUUAACACAUGCAAGUCGAACGGAAGGGCCCUGCUUUUGUGGGGUGCUCGAGUGGCGAACGGGUGAGUAACACGUGAGUAACCUGCCCUUGACUUUGGGAUAACUUCAGGAAACUGGGGCUAAUACCGGAUAGGAGCUCCUGCUGCAUGGUGGGGGUUGGAAAGUUUCGGCGGUUGGGGAUGGACUCGCGGCUUAUCAGCUUGUUGGUGGGGUAGUGGCUUACCAAGGCUUUGACGGGUAGCCGGCCUGAGAGGGUGACCGGCCGCAUUGGGACUGAGAUACGGCCCAGACUCCUACGGGAGGCAGCAGUGGGGAAUAUUGCACAAUGGGCGGAAGCCUGAUGCAGCAACGCCGCGUGCGGGAUGACGGCCUUCGGGUUGUAAACCGCUUUCGCCUGUGACGAAGCGUGAGUGACGGUAAUGGGUAAAGAAGCACCGGCUAACUACGUG
rnacentral:rRNA from 1 species